UAGAGUAUCAAAUGACUCGAAAAUGGAUGAAAAGCUUGGUUUUGAAGAAGAUAAGCAGUGAUAACCACAACCAGAACAACACCAACAACGUUGAGAACAACAAUGCAACUAUGGAUAGUUGUGGGGAAGAUUGUGUUGAAGCUGUGAUGGUGGAGAAGGCUGGGGAGUGUUUAAGCUGUAUGUUGUGGGGAGAAACUAAGUUGGAAGCUUCAAGAG